UAAUAAGUGUUUUAAGGCACUUUUUAAAUCCAUAUCCACCUUGUGUGCAAUGUCAGUCGAUCUUCUUCAUGGAGAUCGACCAAACAUCAACCUUUAUCUUUUAACUCUUUGUCUGAAAAAUAUUAUGAAUAAACAAUUCAAAAUA
rnacentral:misc_RNA from 1 species